UCUUAUGUAUCAAGCUUGCGCUACCAAAUCCAUCCAUGAACCAAUUAGUACGAACACUUUGAAUUUGGGCAACUUUAUCGAGCUUGCACCAUCAACAUCCCUAAUUCGCCUGUUGCACUGCCUUGGUGGCAAGAAAUCAGAAAUUAGGGCUUCCAAAUUUGGGUGAAAGCUGGAGUUUAGAGCUUGAAGCUUGAGGAAAACAAGAAGUUAGGGAUUGAAGGCAUAGUUUGAGAGAGGCUGCUCUCGAAGUUGUGAGAUUGCUGGCACAAAAUACCAAAGAAGUUGGAUUUGAGUUUCUUAAGUAUGUGAAAGAGCAGGAACUAGUAGCAGGCUUAUUGUUGGUGGCUCGUGAAAAGCUUAACAUGACAGAAUUUGGUAUAAGAAGUAAAAGGGAAUUGAGAUGAAUUUGAUGCACU